rnacentral:misc_RNA from 1 species
GAUGAAGAACGUAUCGAAAUGCGAUAAGUAGUGUGAAUUGCAGAAUUCCGUGAAUCAUUGAAUCUUUGAACGCACAUUGCGCCUCCUGGUAAUCCGUGAAGCAUGCCUGUCCGAGCGUCAGUAAAAAGCAACUCGGCCGCGGCUGGCGGUUGGUGAUGGAGGAAGAGCACGUCUCGUUGUCGGUCUCCCCUCCCAAAAUCAACGGCGGAAUGUCACUGGCACUCGGUGUUGUAGUAUUAUUCGCCGAUCACCCAUUGUUGUUCCUGCUGCCCAAACCCCCACAAUUCUCUUGAUUGACCUGGGAUCAGGUAGGGAUACCCGCUGAACUUAAGCAUAUCAAUAAGCGGAGGA